rnacentral:rRNA from 1 species
GACGAACGCUGGCGGCGUGCCUAAUACAUGCAAGUUGAGCGCUGAAGGUUGGUACUUGUACCAACUGGAUGAGCAGCGAACGGGUGAGUAACGCGUGGGGAAUCUGCCUUUGAGCGGGGGACAACAUUUGGAAACGAAUGCUAAUACCGCAUAAAAACUUUAAACACAAGUUUUAAGUUUGAAAGAUGCAAUUGCAUCACUCAAAGAUGAUCCCGCGUUGUAUUAGCUAGUUGGUGAGGUAAAGGCUCACCAAGGCGGUGAUACAUAGCCGAACUGAGAGGGUGAUCGGCCACAUUGGGACUGAGACACGGCCCAAACUCAUACGGGAGGCAGCAGUAGGGAAUCUUCGGCAAUGGACGAAAGUCUGACCGAGCAACGCCGCGUGAGUGAAGAAGGUUUUCGGAUCGUAAAACUCUGUUGGUAGAGAAGAACGUUGGUGAGAGUGGAAAGCUCAUCAAGUGACGGUAACUACCCAGAAAGGGACGGCUAACUACGUG